CUAAGUUUGAUGGCGACCGGCGCACGGGUGAGUAACACGUAUCCAACCUGCCGAUGACUCGGGGAUAGCCUUUCGAAAGAAAGAUUAAUACCCGAUGGCAUAGUUCUUCCGCAUGGUAGAACUAUUAAAGAAUUUCGGUCAUCGAUGGGGAUGCGUUCCAUUAGGUUGUUGGCGGGGUAACGGCCCACCAAGCCUUCGAUGGGUAGGGGUUCUGAGAGGAAGGUCCCCCACAUUGGAACUGAGACACGGUCCAAACUCCUACGGGAGGCAGCAUG
rnacentral:rRNA from 1 species